rnacentral:tRNA from 4 species
GCCGGGAUACCCUAGUGGUAGGGGGCAGGCCUGGAGAGCCUGUGGCCCUCUGGGCCGCGCGGGUUCGAAUCCCGCUCCCGGCGCCA